GAUCAUGUACCUUAGACCCCCAGCCAACAUCUACUCAACCAAUGAUCUCGUCUCGCUGUGGGAGAGAAAAAUUGGCAAGAGUCUUAAAAGGAUCUACGUCCCAGAGGAGGAAGUGUUGAAGAACAUCAAAGAGACUUCAUAUCCACUUAAUAUAGAAUUGGCACUCUGUCACACUGCUCAAGUGAAAGGAUCUCAAACUAAUUUUGAUAUUGAGCCAUCUUUUGGAGUGGAAGCUUCAGCUUUGUACCCAGAUGUUCGAUAUACAACUGUGGAAGAAUACCUCGACCAGUUUGUCUGAAAAGAAAACAACCCCCUAAAG
rnacentral:misc_RNA from 1 species